rnacentral:rRNA from 1 species
AACGAACGUUGGCGGCGCGCUUAACACAUGCAAGUCGCACGCGAAAGGGAGCAAUCCCCGGUAGCGUGGCGCACGGGUGAGUAACACGUGGAUAAUCUACCCUCGAGCGGGGGAUAACCUUCCGAAAGGAGGGCUAAUACCGCAUAAGACCACGACCAGUACGCUGGUUGGGGUCAAAGCAGGCCUCUACAUGUAAGCUUGCACUUGAGGAUGAGUCCGCGGCCCAUCAGCUAGUUGGUAGUGUAACGGACUACCAAGGCAAAGACGGGUAGCUGGUCUGAGAGGAUGAUCAGCCACACUGGAACUGAGACACGGUCCAGACUCCUACGGGAGGCAGCAGUGGGGAAUCUUGCGCAAUGGGCGAAAGCCUGACGCAGCGACGCCGCGUGGGUGAUGAAGGGCCUUC